rnacentral:rRNA from 1 species
AUGCAACUUGCCCAAGAAAAAAUCUUUUUCUGGUUACUGCUUCUUGACAGAUUAAAUACUAGAGACAUAUUGAUCAGGAAGAGCUUCCACAUAGAAAAUAGGAGGUGUAUUCUAUGUGAUGAUGAACCCAAUGAAUAUUUAGAGCACCUCUUCUUUGAAUGUGAUUUUAGCAAAAAAUUCUGGGCAGCAUUGGGAAUGGAAUGGAACACAGACCUAAGUACUAUAUAAAUGUUGGUUGAAGGCAAAAGCAGAGACCAUAGCAAGGGUUACAAGGAGAAGCUGAUAGCAGGAUGUUGGAGCAUAUGGAAGCACAAGAAUGGCAUUAUCUUUGACAAUAAUGAUAGAAGCUUGCUUCAUUACAUAUCAAGUUUCAAACAACAUUAUAGCACUAAUAUCAGAAAAGCAAGACCUAGCUUAAAGGAUGGGAUGCAAUCCUGGUUGGAUACAAUGUAA